rnacentral:rRNA from 1 species
GAUGAACGCUGGCGGCGUGCCUAAUACAUGCAAGUCGAGCGAAUGGAUUAAGAGCUUGCUCUUAUGAAGUUAGCGGCGGACGGGUGAGUAACACGUGGGUAACCUGCCCAUAAGACUGGGAUAACUCCGGGAACCCGGGGCUAAUACCGGCAAACACUUUGAACCGCAUGGUUCGAAAUUGAAAGGCGGCUUCGCCUGUCACUUUUGGAUGUACCUGCGUCGCAUUAGCUAGUUGGUGAGGUAAAGGCUCACCAAGGCAACGAUGCGUGGCCGAACUGAGAGGGUGAUCGGCCACACUGGGACUGAGACACGGCCCAGACUCCUACGGGAAGCAGCAGUAGGGAAUCUUCCGCAAUGGACGAAAGUCUGACGGAGCAACGCCGCGUGAGUGAUGAAGGCUUUCGGGUCGUAAAACUCUGUUGUUAGGGAAGAACAAGUGCUAGUUGAAUAAGCUGGCACCUUGACGGUACCUAACCAGAAAGCCACGGCUAACUACGUGCCAGCCGCCGCAGUAA